UGUUCUGCAUGGGUAUCUGUGCUCAUGAUAUAUUCAAAGGAUAGGGCAGUAGAAAUUCAAUAUUUGGCUUUGUAGGCUUCUUGGCUUUGUAGGUUUUUCUUGGUUUUGUGUUUGCUAAACCUGUUAAUUCUAUUGAUGCAGUU